ACAAACUAAUAUAACAAAUCACUAUAAAAUAUUAAAUAAUUAACAUGAAUAUUAUAAUUAUUAAAAUGAUAUAUUAUAUUUUUUCUUGUAUUAUAUAUAUAUUAGAAAAAUAUAAGAAAUUUGGGGGUACACCUUGCACCAAUGUGGCUCCGCCACUGCUACACAAAGAACAUACCAAGCAAAUGAAUGGAACGAAGGUAGGAAUCAUUAUUCCAUUCCGACUUCCAUUACAUCAUACCAAUCACUUAGGUCCCUUUAUCAUUAUUGUUGAGACAAUCGCCGAAAAUCACAAGAACACACAACGCAAUAAACGAACAAGAAACGCAAAGUAAGAACGACGCAAAGAGUUAUAAAUCACCUAACAAAGAAACGAAGAAGGAAUUAUAAUAAGCAAAUGGAGUUGAAAGAAAUUAUAGAUCUCAGCUCUCUGCUGUACCUCUCGUGGAGGAGUUGGCGCAAGUCGACGGCGGCGGCGGCAGUUGGUUUUCAAUACCAUAAGCACCCUUCCUCUCUGUGCACGAAAAUUGUAAUGUGAAUUUUAGUAAAUGAUUUGAAAAGAUGUGUGUGUAAUGUAAUGGUAAAAUGGAUCAAAGUUGAUGAUUUUGAAGGAAAUUGUGUGGAAGAAUAGUUGCGAGAAACUAAGCAACCGAAGACUAGUUAUGAUGAUUGAGCAAUCAACUAGUUGAUCAAGUCUAUAUGCGCGUUGAGCAUUAAUCAACUCCA
rnacentral:lncRNA from 1 species